rnacentral:rRNA from 1 species
AACGAACGCUGGCGGCAUGCCUAACACAUGCAAGUCGAACGAGACCUUCGGGUCUAGCGGCGCACGGGUGCGUAACGCGUGGGAACCUGCCCUUAGGUUCGGAAUAACUCCCCGAAAGGGGUGCUAAUACCGGAUAAUGUCUUCGGACCAAAGAUUUAUCGCCUUUGGAUGGGCCCGCGUUGGAUUAGCUAGUUGGUAGGGUAAAAGCCUACCAAGGCGACGAUCCAUAGCUGGUCUGAGAGGAUGAUCAGCCACACUGGGACUGAGACACGGCCCAGACUCCUACGGGAGGCAGCAGUGGGGAAUAUUGGACAAUGGGCGAAAGCCUGAUCCAGCAAUGCCGCGUGAGUGAUGAAGGCCUUAGGGUUGUAAAGCUCUUUUACCCGGGAUGAUAAUGGCAGUACCGGGAGAAUAAGCUCCGGCUAACUCCGUG